UAAUGUUUCGUUGUGCUAAUA
rnacentral:siRNA from 1 species